rnacentral:ncRNA from 2 species
AGUGAGACGGGGGAUGGCGUCCCCCUGAGGGUUUUCCCUCAAACUGCCUAAACAAUGAGGGCUGAUGACGCCUAUCUCUAC